rnacentral:rRNA from 1 species
CUGGCUCAGGAUGAACGCUAGCUACAGGCUUAACACAUGCAAGUCGAGGGGCAGCAUGUUGGUUGCUGCAACCGAUGAUGGCGACCGGCGCACGGGUGAGUAACGCGUAUCCAACCUUCCCUAUAGUAGAGGAUAGCCCGGCGAAAGUCGGAUUAAUACUCUAUGUUGUUCAAUGCAGACAUCUAAGUUGAAUCAAAGGUUCACCGCUAUAGGGAUGGGGAUGCGUCUGAUUAGGUAGUCGGCGGGGUAACGGCCCACCGAGCCAUCGAUCAGUAGGGGUUCUGAGAGGAAGGUCCCCCACAUUGGAACUGAGACACGGUCCAAACUCCUACGGGAGGCAGCAGUGAGGAAUAUUGGUCAAUGGGCGAGAGCCUGAACCAGCCAAGUAAGCGUGCAGGAUGACGGCCCUAUGGGUUGUAAACUGCUUUUAUACAGGGAUAAAGUCGGGGACGUGUCCCCGUUUGUAGGUACUGUAUGAAUAAGGACCGGCUAAUUCCGUGCCAGCAGCGGC